rnacentral:rRNA from 1 species
UUUUGCAUCAUGAGAAUAGUUUAUUUCUUUUUACCGAAAGGGUUUGAUCUUUAAUUCAGUUGGUUAGUAUUUAUUAUCGGGUAGAGUAAGAAACUGAUUUAACGUUGUGAUAAAUAAGUCGUUUGCUCUUAUAUCUGUUUAUUGUCUUAAGUUUCUAUUUAGUUGCAGGGCAGGGAAGUCCUGUAAAUUUACAUAUAUUUGAGGUAUUUUAAUGGUUUAAUUGAAUAGGGUUAAAAAUGCCCCUUUAUUGAAGUUUUGUUACAAUUUGUUUUUAUUUUCGUUUUAUAUUGUGUUUAAAGGGCAAUUAAGUUUAAUGGUUUGUUACAUUUAUGAUACAAUGAGUAAUUCUAAUAUUUUGUAUUGUUUCUCAAGCAUAUUCCGUCUGUUUAUUAAAAACAUUUCUAUAUAGAAUAUUAUAUAGUAGGGCCUGCUCGGUGUUUAAUUAUUAAUGGCCGCAGUAUUUUGACUGUGCGAAGGUAGCAUAAUUAAUUGCCCUUUAAUUGGGGGCUUGUUUGAAUGGUUUGACGUGGGUAUUGUUAACAUUACUUUUAUAGUUGAAAUUAAUUUUGAGGGCACAGAAUCCUCAUUUUUUAAUUAGACGGAAAGACCCCGGGAUCUUUUAAAUUUUGCCUGGGGCAGGUUAUAUUUUUUCAAAUUUUUAUAUUAUGAUCCUAGUUUUGGCAUGUUGGUUUAAGUUACCCCGGGGAUAACAGUGUAAUAAUUUAUUAGAGAUCUUAUCGAAUAAGUUGUUUGCCACCUCGAUGUUGACUUAGGUUUAUAGUAAGGCGCAGUAGUUUUAUUAUGUGGUCUGUUCGACCUUUAUUACCUCCAUGAGUUGAGUUAAGACCGGCGUAAGGCCAGGUCGGUUCUUAUCUAUU